AUUGAACGCUGGCGGCAGGCCUAACACAUGCAAGUCGAGCGAGCGGCGGACGGGUGAGUAAAGUAUGGGGACUGUCCGUGAGAGGGGGAUAAAUACAGGAGACGGGAGCUAAUACAGCACACUAUAGGAGAAACCACAUGGGAUUAGCUAUUAGGUGAGGUAAUGGCUCACCUAGGCGACGAUCUCCAGCUGGUCUGAGAGGUUUAUCAGCCACACUGGGACUGAGACACGGCCCAGAUUCCUACGGAGGCAGCAGUGGGGAAUAUUGCACAAUGGGCGCAAGCCUGAUGCAGCCAUGCCGCGUGUAUGAAGAAGGCCUUAGGGUUGUAAAGUACUUUCAGUCGGGAGGCGUUACCGACAGAAGAAGCACCGGCUAACUCCGUGCCAGCAGCCGCGGUAAGAC
rnacentral:rRNA from 1 species